rnacentral:rRNA from 1 species
GAUGAACGCUGGCGGCGUGCCUAAUACAUGCAAGUCGAGCGGAAAGGCCCUUCGGGGUACUCGAGCGGCGGACGGCUGAGUAACACGUAGGAACGUACCCCAAAGUGAGGGAUAACUGCUCGAAAGAGUAGCUAAUACCGCAUGUGCUCUUCGGAGUAAAGCUUCGGCGCUUUGGGAACGGCCUGCGCAAGAUUAGUUUGUUGGUGAGGUAAAGGCUCACCAAGGCGACGAUCUUUAGCUGGUCUGAGAGGAUGAUCAGCCAGACUGGGACUGAGACACGGCCCAGACUCCUACGGGAGGCAGCAGUAGGGAAUUUUCCACAAUGGGCGAAAGCCUGAUGGAGCAACGCCGCGUGCAGGAUGAAUGCCUUCGGGUUGUAAACUGCUUUUAUAUGUGACGAUUAUGACGGUAGCAUAUGAAUAAGGAUCGGCUAACUCCGUGCCAGCAGCCGCGGUCAUACGGAGGAUCCAAGCGUUAUCCGGAAUUACUGGGCGUAAAGAGUUGCGUAGGUGGCAUAGUAAGUUGGUAGUGAAAUGAUGUGGCUCAACCACAUGUCCAUUACCAAAACUGCUAAGCUAGAGGAUGAGAGAGGUCACUGGAAUUCCCUGUGUAGGAGUGAAAUCCGUAGAUAUAGGGAGGAACACCGAUGGCGUAGGCAGGUGACUGGCUCAUUCCUGACACUAAGGCACGAAAGCGUGGGUAGCAAACGGGAUUAGAUACCCCGGUAGUCCACGCCGUAAACGAUGGAUGCUAGCUGUUAGAAGUAUCGACCCUUCUAGUAGCGAAGCUAACGCGUUAAGCAUCCCGCCUGUGGAGUACGAGCGCAAGCUUAAAACAUAAAGGAAUUGACGGGGACCCGCACAAGCGGUGGAGCGUGUUGUUUAAUUCGAUGAUAAGCGAAGAACCUUACCCAGGCUUGACAUCCUGCGAAGGCUUCCGAAAGGAAACUGUGCCCUCGGGAACGCAGUGACAGGUGCUGCAUGGCCGUCGUCAGCUCGUGUCGUGAGAUGUUUGGUUAAGUCCAUCAACGAGCGCAACCCUUGUGAAUAGUUGUAUUUUUCUAUUCAAACUGCCCUGGCAACAGGGAGGAAGGAGGGGAUGAUGUCAGGUCAGUAUUACCCUUACGUCUGGGGCUACAAACACGCUACAAUGGCCGGUACAAAGGGCAGCCAACCCGCGAGGGGGAGCAAAUCCCAUCAAAGCCGGUCUCAGUUCGGAUUGCAGGCUGAAACUCGCCUGCAUGAAGCUGGAAUCGCUAGUAACGGUAGGUCAGCACACUACCGUGAAUACGUUCCCGGGUCUUGUACACACCGC